CUGCCCUCAAGCCCGGCUUGUGUGUUGGGUCUCGUCCCCCCCGGGGGACGGGCCCGAAAGGCAGCGGCGGCACCGUGUCCGGUCCUCGAGCGUAUGGGGCUUUGUCACCCGCUCCGUAGGCCCGGCCGGCGCCUGUCGACCCCCAAUCUAUUUUUUUCA
rnacentral:misc_RNA from 1 species